GCCCGGUGAUGAGACCAAGGCGAAUGCGAGGCGGUUGGCUGAGAGGUCAGGGUCUCCCGCCUCCUGAUUGGUGGGUAAUCUUGGCAGGGCGGCGGAGAUUUGCUGCUCUGCUGUAAGGGCCCACCUACAGUGAGGAAGCCCCGCCCCUCACACCUGCCUCCUGAGAUUGAGGAGGAGUGGGGGUGGGGGGGGGCUGACAGUGUGUGUGUGUGUGUGUGUGUGUGCGUGCGUGUGUGUCGUGAGUGUCUGUCUGGUGUGUGUGUGUGUGUAUGUGUUUAUGUUGGGAGGCUGGGAGGCUCCCCUCUACAAGCAGUCAGUGACCUAUGAGCGGCUUCUUUGGUAAUCUGAGGGCG